UCUUGCUGCAGGAGCGCUGUCCGGCCGGCAGGCGGCAGCACCGAGGCGCGGCGCCCGGCCCGGCCCGGUAAGGCCGGGCCUCGGGAUACACCCACGGGCGGGAUCGCCUCGGGAACGGCUGGGAAUAAACUGAACCGGCCUCGUCUUCCGCUGCUCACAGUCCAGCCGGAGCGCCUGGGGAAUAAACACCUGCUCCGUGUCUCCCGGGAAGAGCUUCUCCAGGUGGAAGCGCUGGGAAACAGGACUUGGCACAGCGCGUUUCUCCCUGUUGUAGCGACCAGAGCACAAAGUGACUUCUGCAAUCAAACUCUGAAGCUGACAGGCCCAAAAGCUCUGUCUGGCGACCCAGGAACAAAAGGACGCUCCCAGGGAUGAGGAACGUUCCCAGCAAACACUCCCAGCGCAGCACAGAGGCAGCCCUGGAGCUCGUGUGUGGGGCUGGCAAGGGCUGCCAGGAGGGCACAGCCCCCAGGUGGGGUGGCAGUGGCAGUGACAGCAGCCAAUUGCCACGGUGAGAUGGCACAACAGACAAAGGCCAGCAAUGCCCGUGGGAAGUGCAGGUUUGCCUUCAGCUCCUUGUGGUGCAGCAUCACCUUCCACCACAGCCACAUCCCGGGAGAAGUCUCAAGAGGGCACAUAAAAAUCCCAGGAUGCAACAAAACGCAGCAUCUGUCACCCUGAUUGUGUUCCAGCCCAGUGUGGGGGCCCAAACCCCACACCCACGGGUAAACAUUGACCUGAGCUGGGUCAGUGUUAAACACAGCCCCAAUUCUGACCCACAGCACGGUCCCAGAGGUUUCCUGCCCAGGGCUGAGGGCAGGAAUGUGCAUGAUGUGCAUAAAUAACAUUUGCUGAGAGCAGCCACCACCCCAGUCCCUCAGACCUCACAAGAUUUUGUAGUGAACAGACCCAACUCCUCACCCUUAAUAUAAAUUUCAAACACAUUCCAUUAGAAAAAUAGCAGACAGUACAUGAUACACAAUCAUACAACAGAAUUAAAAGGAAUAACAGAAUAUACAAGGAAUAAAACAGAAUAUAUAAGGAAUAACGGAAGAUUUUCCACAAAAAACACAAGUUUAUUUUUCCCCUCGUCUGUCUUGGUCUGUAGGACCAAAUCUUUGCAAUCGAGACACAGGUUUUGGCUUAGAAAGUAAAAACUUUAGUGCAUCUGGCUACAUGAUUAAAACACAUAGAUGCAUGGGUGGUCAUAGAUGGAAAGCUUUUCAGGAGAGAAGAGAGCUGUUUCUAUAGCACACUUCCAUACACCCUCAGAAAAAGCAGAAUUGCCACCAACCCCUAAAACCCUUUGAGAGGAAUCCAGCCCUCCUUGGGACACCCAACACAGCAGACAUUGAAAAAGGAAAGAAAAACUCAAACUUGUAGGAGGAAGAAAUAAACAACUCUCUCCAACUUCUGCUCUGAGCAGCACAGCUGGAUGUGGCAGCUGAACCAUGUCACCUGCCAGUAGCUCCUCUCUCCAAAAACACUUCCCUAGCUCUGUGGGAGCACCUGCAGGGCCUGCAGUGUGGCACUCAGCACCCAGGACCUCACUCGGUGUCUGCAGAACCCCUCCCACUGCUCCAGGGUGUUUGCUCCUCACAAAGCCACCCGUGAGCCAAGACACACGUCGGACCCAAAGGCAACAAGGGGCCACACAUCCCAUUCCUUAGCUGCCCGCUCUCUCCACAUCCUCACCCUGCCAAGGGAGGGAGAAGUCUGCAGCUGGAUCCAGUGCCCAGGUGGAGCAAAGCAGCUUGAGAGCAGCUGGCAUCUUCCUGAGGUGGCUGACAGUGACAGGAUGUGUGUGCCCAAGCCCUUGCAGGAGAGGUACUGGGGUGGAUUAAAAGUUCCUGCUGAAUGAUGUUGUUCUGUGUAGCCCCAAAUGGUUCACAGCUCCAAAUAAAGCUUAAAUCAGAACCAUCAGCGUGCAGGGAAAAACAAAUGAAGCGGCCUCUCAGUGGUAAGAUGUUCCCAGGGGAAAAAAAAAUUAAUUCAUCCCUGCUUCUUUCAUAGGCAGGGAUCCUACCUUGUGUCACUGCACAGACACAAAUGAUGUAGCAUCCAAGAACACGGAAAAGGCCAAGGGGAAAACUACACACUGCCUUUUAAUGUUCUACUACAGCACUCCAUUUCUGCCAAGCACUUUUUUUGUUUUCCAGACCAAGAGACCAAGUGCAUGGACUGAAUUUAGGGAUAUUUGAGCAUGCUUGAAAGGCGUUCACAGAAAAUAAAGUA